rnacentral:lncRNA from 1 species
AUCAGCCAAUGCAGUGCCACCGAAAAAUGGAUAUAGAUCAUCUGGUAGAGUUGCCUGAAAAAUGUCCUGAAGGCUGUUUCCACAGGAAAGUCUCUUUCCAGAUAUUCUCAGACCCAAUAUAUACACACACACACACACAAGUCUAUAAUUAUCCAUAUUUGACUACAGCAUCAAACACAGAGGCCAUAAAAGGAGGUUGAUACCAAAUCUAUCGUGAUUGCACUGCCAUUACAUAUAAACAGCCACAUGAGUAACUGUAGUUUACAAGCACAGACAAAAUGUUAAUGUAAGUCAGGCUGAACACCAACAGCAGGAUAGCAGGACUGUUUUGCUUUGCUUAUGUUGUAUUCUUCUUUCUGUCUUUUAGGCUGCUGUAGUUGGGAUACUUCUGGGACCAGGAGGGAGGGAGGUGAAAUGAACAUGGGUUAAAAUUGACAUAUUGACAAUGUUGAUUUAAAGCAUGUGAGAUUCUAACCCUGCAGUUCUCAAUGUCUUGUAACACAAAUACAAAUCAAAAGUAAGAUCCCCUUUUUUUUUUUUAUUUCCAAAUCAACAUCCAUAAGAGAAGAAAAGGACACACACCGCGUCAAGUGGUUUUGAAGAUGUUUAGCAGACAGCUCAAACAAUUGCAAGUGGAAAUGAAGUCCAACAUCAACCACUGUUGCUCCAUUCCACCUUAUCUCCUCUUCUGUAGAUCAACCCUAGAUCUACUAAUGGACAGCAGUGCAGUGUGUACCUGGUAGCUCUGCCACUCACCAUGUCCAGGUAAGGUCUACUGUCUUUCCUGGUGUCUGUGCUUUCUUUGCAUGAAGUUAAUACAGCUAGGCUCAGCUGAACUCAGCUGCUACUGGGAAAAACAAUGGCAGCAGCACAGCUGUUAGAGAUGUUCUCAUGCAGGACAGCAGGGAAUAAGACCUCUGUAGUCUACACAGAUGAGGGAGAAGAGAAGAACAUUAAGAAGAUCUGUGACAAGUCCCACUGCACUUUGUUUUUUCAGCACAGCAGGGCUCCAGAGGAAAAUGAAGUGACAACAGUGCAGCAACAGCUUGUCUGUGAUGAGUGAAAUUUCAAGACUGCAAAUUUGCCCACAGCUGCUAGCAUUGCUAGAGGUAUACCAUGUGGGGACCAGCUGUAGUGCAAUGUCCAUACGCUGAUAUUGACUGGAAAGUGGAUUUCAACCAUGACAACUAACUGGUAUGGGAGGCUUUGGGAAGAAAGUGUAGGGGUAAAUUUAAUAGUUUUUGAUAAUUCUGUGUAUGUGCCUAUGACAACACACAGGUUUUGUCAUUAAGCAGGUAUGUAAGUUUUCUUCUUUAAUUAUUAAACUUGGGCUUGUGUUACUUCUGUCACAUAAUUUAAUAAGUUAACAUAUUCAUUAGUUUCACAAAAACAGGGAAAAAUAUUCCACUAAGGUUUUUUUCCUUUUUAAAAUAAUAAUAAUAAUAAUAAUAAUAAUAAUAAUAAUAAUAAUAAUAAUAAUAAUGCUUUAAAAAUAAACAUAGAAAAAUAAAAGCA